UACGUAGGGUGCGAGCGUUAAUCGGAAUUACUGGGCGUAAAGCGUGCGUAGGUGGUUUGUUAAGUCUGUUGUGAAAGCCCCGGGCUCAACCUGGGAAUGGCGAUGGAUACUGGCUCGCUAGAGUGCGGUAGAGGAGAGUGGAAUUCCCGGUGUAGCAGUGAAAUGCGUAGAGAUCGGGAGGAACAUCAGUUGCGAAGGCGGCUCUCUGGACCAGCACUGACACUGAGGCACGAAAGCGUGGGGAGCAAACAGG
rnacentral:rRNA from 1 species